UACGAAGGGGGCUAGCGUUGCUCGGAAUCACUGGGCGUAAAGCGCACGUAGGCGGACUCUUAAGUCGGUGGUGAAAUCCUGGAGCUCAACUCCAGAACUGCCUUUGAUACAGCAAGCCUUGAGUCCGGAAGAGGUAGGUGGAAUUCCUAGUGUAGAGGUGAAAUUCGUAGAUAUUAGGAAGAACACCAGUGGCGAAGGCGGCCUACUGGUCCGGCACUGACGCUGAGGUGCGAAAGCGUGGGGAGCAAACAGG
rnacentral:rRNA from 1 species